GUGAUUCAGCAAUGCUCUUUCCUCCAAAGCAUUAGGUAUUGACUAUGAACUAUACGGUCUGCCUUACUGAACAGAAUCUUCACUAACUCUUCCUGAGAGAGAAUGCAUUUUUACUCUGCUAAAUGACAUGUGGAGUUCUGAAUGCUUAUUGAAUCCUGCAAUAUUAAAUGGCUGCUUUUUCUGCUGGCAUACAGUCUUGGAAUUUGAAGAUCUAGAAGGGUGCAUGGAAACUGAAGAGCACUCAGAAGAAAGCAGCAAGAAUAAUAAAUGAGUUAGAAAACCUGAGAAAAAACAUUGAAGCAUUUCUGUUAAUUUCAUCUACAAAAGAAACAUUAGUGCAGGAAGGAGCAAGAGAGGAAGAAAUUACAAAGAAAUAUUGUCAUGCUGUGACAGCUGGAUACCUCUGUAGGAGCUAUGGCAUCCCAAUGGAAGAAACAAUGAAGAUCUUACGCUAGAGGAUAUUUGUCUCCUACAUUACCUAUAUGCUUCCAAUUUGAAAGUUUAGAUGAAUUCCUGGAGAAAGUAAUACUUGGAGAAAAUAAUAUUUUAGCAUGAAUCAGAAUGACUUUCUUCUUUUUGCACCUGACAAAGAAUUUGAAAUAAUGAAACAAUGAAGGUUCAGGAUAAAGUAGAUGUCCUGCUGUGCAAGAUACAUACUGUAGCAAUUGUUCCGUCAUUUGCAAUGUUACCUUUGCUGACUGCCCUGUGGUUUGCUGGAAGGAGUAUAAAGAAUUGUUUCAAUCCUAUGGGAUCCUAACAGGCACCAUCACCACAAUACAAAUAAAAAUGAUUAUAUAUAA